AGAUCAAAGCCAAUAAAUGAAUGCUCUACGGAUGCCCGCAUGUCAAAAGGAAAUAUUUGUAUUUUAACUCGUGUAUCCACCGUCAUAUGCAAGCCACUGUAGCAAAACAUUUCCGAAGGUGCAACAUCCUGCAAGUCAAUGAAAACAUUUAUUCGUAAAUCGUAAAGUAACAGUAGACAAAAUGAGCGGCAAUCUAACACAAAAGAGUGAAAAAGUGAAAAAA